GAGUUUGAUCGUGGCUCAGAUUGAACGCUGGCGGCAUGCCUUACACAUGCAAGUCGAACGGCAGCACGGGAGCUUGCUCCUGGUGGCGAGUGGCGAACGGGUGAGUAAUGCAUCGGAACGUAUCCUGGAGUGGGGGAUAACGUAGCGAAAGUUACGCUAAUACCGCAUAUUCUGUGAGCAGGAAAGCGGGGGACCUUCGGGCCUCGCGCUCUUGGAGCGGCCGAUGUCGGAUUAGCUAGUUGGUGAGGUAAAGGCUCACCAAGGCGACGAUCCGUAGCAGGUCUGAGAGGAUGAUCUGCCACACUGGAACUGAGACACGGUCCAGACUCCUACGGGAGGCAGCAGUGGGAUUUGGACAAUGGGGGCAACCCUGAUCCAGCCAUGCCGCGUGAGUGAAGAAGGCCUCGGUGUAAG
rnacentral:rRNA from 1 species